CGACUCUCGGCAACGGAUAUCUAGGCUCUCGCAUCGAUGAAGAACGUAGCAAACUGCGAUACUUGGUGUGAAUUGCAGAAUCCCGUGAACCAUCGAGUCUUUGAACGCAAGUUGCGCCUGAAGCCACUAGGUUGAGGGCACGUCUGCCUGGGCGUCAC
rnacentral:rRNA from 2 species